rnacentral:rRNA from 1 species
UACGGGGGAGCAAGCGUUGUUCGGAUUUACUGGGCGUAAAGGGCGCGUAGGCGGUCAGCACAAGUCAGUUGUGAAAUCUCCGGGCUUAACUCGGAAAGGUCAACUGAUACUGUGCGGCUAGAGUGCGGAAGGGGCAACUGGAAUUCUUGGUGUAGCGGUGAAAUGCGUAGAUAUCAAGAGGAACACCUGCGGCGAAGGCGGGUUGCUGGGCCGACACUGACGCUGAGGCGCGAAAGCUAGGGGAGCGAACGGG